rnacentral:lncRNA from 1 species
UUCUUAUUCGCUGACAUUUGUUUUCCAAUUGCGUGAAAUUUGGUCAUUUCCUUAGUGUUUCGCUGACCGACCUGUGCUGGUAUUGUGAUUAAGAGCUAAUACACAUUUUUCGGACGAUUCUGCUGUGCUGCGUUCCUGCUCCGCCUGUAUAUUGCUCCGCCCGUAUUUUAUAGUGUUGCGUUCCUGUUGCGCCUUUGCAUUAGUGUGUGCGUUGUGAUUUAGACACGUUGAAAUUUUUUGUAUGCUUCUGCUGUGCUGCGUUCCUGCUCCACCCGUGUAUUAGAUGGCUGCGUUCCUGUUAACAUACAUAUCGUCGCUUAAAGUACAAAACCGCGUAACUGACAUUUGCUGCUAAAAAUUGGAUUCGCUCACACACGUUUUUGGAUCAAUCCUUAUCCAUUCUUCCUGAAAUAUACUAGCCAAAAAUGCGAUUGCUUUUUACAAAAAGAUAACCAUUUUGAAAUAUGAGUGUUUUUACUCUCUAGAAAUUAAUUUAUGCAACCUUGCAUACGUGGGUUUGCAUUAUCUCUAUACGCGGUUUUGCAAUUUAUUGAUACAUGGUUUUGUACUUUAAACGACGA